ACCUGCAGUCGAGCGGGCCCUUCGGGGUCAGCGGCGGACGGGUGAGUAACGCGUGGGAACGUGCCUUCUGGUCUGGGAUAACCCUGGGAAACUAGGGCUAAUACCGGAUACGCCCUUUUGGGGAAAGGUUUACUGCCGGAAGAUCGGCCCGCGUCUGAUUAGCUAGUUGGUGGGGUAACGGCCUACCAAGGCGACGAUCAGUAGCUGGUCUGAGAGGAUGAUCAGCCACACUGGGACUGAGACACGGCCCAGACUCCUACGGGAGGCAGCAGUGGGGAAUAUUGGACAAUGGGCGCAAGCCUGAUCCAGCCAUGCCGCGUGAGUGAUGAAGGCCUUAGGGUUGUAAAGCUCUUUUAUCCGGGACGAUAAUGACGGUACCGGAGGAAUAAGCCCCGGCUAACUUCGUGCCAGCAGCCGCGGUAAUACGAAGGGGGCUAGCGUUGCUCGGAAUCACUGGGCGUAAAGGGCGCGUAGGCGGCGUUUUAAGUCGGGGGUGAAAGCCUGUGGCUCAACCACAGAAUGGCCUUCGAUACUGGGACGCUUGAGUAUGGUAGAGGUUGGUGGAACUGCGAGUGUAGAGGUGAAAUUCGUAGAUAUUCGCAAGAACACCGGUGGCGAAGGCGGCCAACUGGACCAUUACUGACGCUGAGGCGCGAAAGCGUGGGGAGCAAACAGGAUUAUAUACCCUGGUAGUCCACGCCGUAAACCAUGAAUGCCAGCUGUUGGGGUGCUUGCACCGCAGUAGCGCAGCUAACGCUUUGAGCAUUCCGCCUGGGGAGUACGGUCGCAAGAUUAAAACUCAAAGGAAUUGACGGGGGCCCCGCACAGGCGGUGGAGCAUGUUGGUUUUU
rnacentral:rRNA from 1 species